AAACUAAGCAUAUCAAUAAGCGGAGGAAAAGAAACCAACAGGGAUUGCCCUAGUAACGGCGAGUGAAGCGGCAACAGCUCAAAUUUGAAAUCUGGCGUCUUUGGCGUCCGAGUUGUAAUUUGCAGAGGGCGCUUUGGCAUUGGCAGCGGUCCAAGUUCCUUGGAACAGGACGUCACAGAGGGUGAGAAUCCCGUACGUGGUCGCUAGCCUUUACCGUGUAAAGCCCCUUCGACGAGUCGAGUUGUUUGGGAAUGCAGCUCUAAAUGGGAGGUAAAUUUCUUCUAAAGCUAAAUACUGGCCAGAGACCGAUAGCGCACAAGUAGAGUGAUCGAAAGAUGAAAAGCACUUUGGAAAGAGAGUUAAAAAGCACGUGAAAUUGUUGAAAGGGAAGCGCUUGCAGCCAGACUUGCCUGUAGUUGCUCAUCCGGGUUUCUACCCGGUGCACUCUUCUAUAGGCAGGCCAGCAUCAGUUUGGGCGGUUGGAUAAAGGUCUCUGUCAUGUACCUCUCUUCGGGGAGAACUUAUAGGGGAGACGACAUGCAACCAGCCUGGACUGAGGUCCGCGCAUCUGCUAGGAUGCUGGCGUAAUGGCUGUAAGCGGCCCGUCUUGAAACACGGACCAAGGAGUCUAACAUCUAUGCGAGUGUUUGGGUGUCAAGCCCGAGCGCGUAAUGAAAGUGAACGGAGGUGGGAACCUUUCGGGGUGCACCAUCGACCGAUCCUGAUGUCUUCGGAUGGAUUUGAGUAAGAGCAUAGCUGUUGGGACCCGAAAGAUGGUGAACUAUGCUUGAAUAGGGUGAAGCCAGAGGAAACUCUGGUGGAGGCUCGCAGCGGUUCUGACGUGCAAAUCGAUCGUCAAAUUUGGGCAUAGGGGCGAAAGACUAAUCGAACUAUCUAGUAGCUGGCUCCUGCCGAAGUUUCCCCUCAGGAA
rnacentral:rRNA from 1 species